AGAAUCAACGCUGGCGGCGUGCCUAACACAUGCAAGUCGAACGCGAAAGCCCCGAAAGGGGCAAGUAGAGUGGCAAACGGGUGAGUAACACGUGGGUGACCUGCCUUCGAGCGGGGGAUAACGUCCCGAAAGGGACGCUAAUACCGCAUAACAUCCUGCCUUUGAAGAGGUGGAGAUCAAAGCUGGGGAUUCGCAAGAACCCGGCACUUGAAGAGGGGCCCGCGUCUGAUUAGCUAGUUGGUGGGGUAACGGCCUACCAAGGCAACGAUCAGUA
rnacentral:rRNA from 1 species